rnacentral:tRNA from 1 species
GGGCCCAUGGUCUAGUGGCAUGACAUCUCGUUGACGUCGAGGGGAUCCCCGGUUCGAAUCCGGGUGGGCCCA